rnacentral:rRNA from 1 species
CCCUUAGAUGUUCUGGGCCGCACGCGCGCUACACUGACGAAUGCAACGAGCUUAUAACCUUGGCCGAAAGGUCUGGGUAAUCUCCAAAUUUCGUCGUGAUGGGGAUAGAUUAUUGCAAUUAUUAAUCUUCAACGAGGAAUCCCUAGUAAGUGCAGGUCAUCAGCUUGCGCUGAUUACGUCCCUGCCCUUUGUACACACCGCCCGUCGCUGCCCGGAACUGAGCCAUUUCGAGAAAAAUGGGGACAGACUGCUUGUGGGUGCGCAAGCACUUCUUGCAGAUUGAAACCAUCUUGAUCGGUAUGGCUUGAACCGGGCAAAAGUCGUAACA